CCCAACUUCGCUAGUCGAAAAUGCCGGGUUUCAACUGCACGUACAGUAAUAGAAAUUUAUUUGGCAUAAUAUGUGUUUAAAUUGACAGUUAUUGGAGACAAGCAAUACUUUGUACAUCUUCUUUUUUAAAUCGCUGAGAAAUUAAAUCUAAAUGAUAAUUUCCAGGAAUUCCUGGAUGGGUAUCCAGAAUCUUUGAAUUUUCUAGCAGCAUUACUGCAAAAUAUGGUUAAGUGCUUCUUUAUGAAAAUCAAGUAUCAUGUGGGAAAAAAACUCUGGUUGAAUUUGCAAUGGAAUUCCAGCAAAAGUUUGUGAAUUCCUAGUGAGAAUAGAUGUACGUAGCUGAAGCGUAAACGCGAGUGUAUUCAUUAAAACCAUGCUGGAGGUGAUUUCUAGUCGGUCACUAUUAAUUUCUUUUAUUUCGUGGGCCAGGUGUAUUUUUGCGUCUAUCAAACAACGCACAAAUUCAAAUGGUCAUUGAGGAAGCACCAGCUUGCAAGAUGUAAUCGUAAGUUUGAAGGUAUUCAUGAUUUUACUUGUAAAAGACUUGGUAUUCAUGAGAUAAUUGUGAAAGAAUUCCUGGAUGACUUCUUGGAGAAUUUUUUGGCUUCUAUGUCCCUCUAAAAUUAUCUAAAAGAAUUUAAAUACAAAUCGCUGGAGGAAUUCCUCUAGAAAUCCUUCAAAUUAUUCAAAAAAUCUACAAGUAAUCCUGAAAAAACCCUGGGGUGAAUCCCUGAAAAACAUUAUGAACGGAAUACUGUAAUUUUUUAACUAAUUGCUGAAUAAUUAAAAAAAAAAAUCCCUAGAGAAAUUUCGGAAGAAAUCAUUACAAGAAUUCUCGAAGCAAUACCUGCAGGAAUCCCUGGAGUAAUUUGUGAAAGUAUACCUGGAGGAAUCCCUGGAUGAAUUCCUGGAGGAAUACGAAAAGCAAUUAUACUAGGAAUUUCAGCAAAAAAAAAUCUGAAGAAUCCGCAUCAGAAAUCCCUGUAGAAAUUACUAGAAAAUUUUUUAGAUGAAUCCUUGGAGGAAUUUCUGGAUGCAUUCCUGGAGGAAUCCUUAGAGGAACUCUUCAAGAAAUCACAGGAGGUGUUCCUAGAUGUAUUUCUGGAGGAUAUCCGGGAGAACCUUCUGGAAAAAUUCCAUGCGGAAUCUCUGGAAAAGUUCCUGGACUAAUGCCUGAAGCAUUAGGGGAUUUUUUUUAUUCUCGUACAAAUUGGUAUGAAGUUUCUGAAGGUUAAUGAAAUAAGGUAGGGAUCAUAUACAGUAUCGGACAAUAAAAAUGCACCAAAGCCGUUUUCCCAUACAAACUAGUCAACUUUAGAUUGUCAUAUCUUAGAUAUUUAUCAACCGAUUGUUUUCAUUUUCCUGUGACGAACUACAAAACAUUUCAAUUUUCAAAAACUAUUAAAAAAAUCCAAUGAUAACUAUUGUUACAAAAGUUACAGAUAGGUUGAAUUUUGACAAUAAAAAUGCACCAAGACAAAAAAUUGUAUAGCAAAAAAUGUUGAAGUCAAAUCAUGUUGGUCUGUUCAGCAAAAUUAUUCGUCAUCACACAAGAAACAUAUUUGCCGAAGACACCAUAAUGAUAUGACGUAACCAUUUUUUGCUAUAACAUUUUUUGUCUUGGUGCAUUUUUAUUGUCAAAAUUCAACCUAUCUGUAACUUUUGUAACAAUAGUUAUCACUGAACUUUUUCAAUAGUUUUUGAAAAUUGAAAUGUUUUGUAGUUCGUCACAGAAAAAUGAAAAAAAUUGGUUGAGAAGUAACUGAGAUAUGGCAAUCUAAAGUUGACUAGUUUGUAUGGGAAAACGGCUUUGGUGCAUUUUUAUUGUCCGAUACUGUAUAUUUGAAAAAACUAAAUUGAAAAAAAAUCAGGGUCGCCUAAUUUUCCGGAAAACUCCAGUGAAAAUCAAACAUUUUCCACAGACACCACCUACUUUGAAAAAUCGUAGAACGAAGCAUCAUAGGCACAUUUUUUUUUGUGAAAUCAUAAGCAAAUUUUCUCAGCAUUUCCAAGAUGGAUUCUGGAGGAAAUCCUAGAAAAUUUUUUGGACAAAUUCCUGGCGGAUUCCCUGGAAAAGUUAAUGGAUUGAUUGAUUGAUUUGUCUUUUUUAAAGAGACUUUCAGCCAUUGGCUCCAAAGUUAAUGGAUACAUUUCUGAAAAAGGCAUCCCUGGAGAAGUUCCUGGAGUAAUGCCUGGAGCAUUAGACGAAUUUCUGAUGAAAUUCCAAGAUAAACUUCUAGAAUAAUUCCCAGAGGAAUUUCUGGAGGAAUUCCAGGAGGAAUUCUUGGAGGAAUCUCACGGAAGAAUCCUUAGAGGAAUCCCUGCAGGAAUUUCUGGUAUAUUCUUGGAGGAAUUCCUGGUGGAAUUUCUAGAAGAACCCGUUAAAUAACUCCUGGACGGAUUUCUAGAGGAAUCCCUGGAGUUGAAAUUCAUGGAUUUAUUCCUAGAGGAAACCUGAAAGAUUUUCCGGAGGAAUCCCUUGGAAAAAUUCCUAUAGAAUUUCCUGAAGAAUCUCCUGAAAGAAUAUCGGAAGCAAUCUCUAAAGGAUUUCCUGCAGAAAUUCCUGGAGGAAUGCAUUAGGAAUUUCCGAAGAAAUUCCUGGAUGGAUUCCUGGAUCAAUUUCUGAAGAAAUUCCUGUAGGAAUUUCUGAAGAAAUACCUACGGUAAAUCUUGGUGGAAUUUCUUGAGGAGCCCCUGGAGACACUGCGGUAGUAAUUUCUGAGAAAUUCCCAGAGGAAUUCCUGAAGGAAUUCGUAUAUGAAUUCCUGAAGGACUUUCUGAAGGAAUUCCAGGAGUAUUUCUGAAGAAACCUCAUAAGGAAUUCCCGCAAAAUUUCUCAGAGAAAUUUCUGCAAAAAUUCUUGAAAGAAUCCCUGGAGAUAUUCUUGGAAAGAACCCUGGAGAAAUCUCUGAAACUCUGGAGGAACCUUAGGAGGGAUUCCUGGAGGAACUUCCGGACAAGUUUCAGGUGGAAUUUCAGAAGGAAUUUCUGGACAAAUCUUUAUAGGAAAUCUUGGGGAAAUUCCAUGGAACUAUUCAUGGAUUAAUUCCAGGAGGAAUCCUUUAAUCAAUUCUUUGAGGAAUCCUUCAAUGAAUUUCUGGAAGAAUCUCUAGAGGAAUUCUGGAAGGAAUCUAUGGAGAGAUUUCUGAAUAUAUUCAUAGAGAAAUUCCCAAAGAAAUUCCUAGAGAAAUUCCUAGAGGAAUUCUGAGAGGAAUUUCUAAUGAAGUUCCAGGAGAAAUUUCCAGAAGAAUUUCUGGAGGACUUACAGGAGCAAUUUCAGAAGGAAUUUCUGGAAGAAUUACUGGAGAAAUCAUCGGAGGAAUUUCUGGAGGAAUCCAUGAAUUAUUUCCUGGAGGAAUGUGUAGAGGAAGCCUCGGAGACUAAAUUCCUGGAUUAAUUCUUGGGGGAAACCCUGGAAGGAUUUCUGGAGGAAUUCCUUGAACAAUUCCUGAAGGAAUUGCUGUACGAAUUUCCGAAGAAAUUCCUGGAGGAAUUCCUGGAUCCAUUCCUGAUUAAAUUACCGAAAGUAUUCCUGAAGAAAUACCUGGGGUAAUUUUUGGUGAAAUUCGUGGUAGAACUCCUAGAGGAGUCCCUGGAGAAAUGCCUGGAUGAAAUCCUGGAAGAAUCCCAGGAGGAAUACCUGGAAUAAUUCUUGAAUAGAUUCCAGAAAGAAUUUGUGGGGAAAUUUUUAAAAGAAUCCCUUGAGGAUUUUCUGGAGGAUUCCUGAAAAAAUAUUUGAAGGAAUUCCUAGAGAUAUCUCAGGAGGAAAUCAUUCAGGAAUCCCAGGAAGAACUAUUGGAAUAUUUCUUGGAUAAACUCCGAGAGGAAUUCUUGGGGCAAUUUCUAAAUGAAUCCUUGGAGGAUUUUCUAGAUAAAUUCUUGGAGAAAUUGCGGUUAUAAUUUCUGAAGGAAUCCUGGAUUAAUGCCUGGAGGAAUCCUUAUAGAAAUCACUGGAGGAACUUCUGGAGGAAUGCCUGGAGUAACCCCUGGAUAAAUUCCUGGAGACAUGCCUGUAUCAAUUCCUGGAGGAAUCUCUCGGGCGCUGUCCAUAAACUACGUAGACUUUUUUUCGGCCAUCUCAGACCCCCCCCCCCUCCCCCCUCGUAGACUUUUGUUCAUACAAAAUUUUCGAAAUUUGUAUAGAGCGUAGACUUUGGCCAGACCCCCCCGUCCCCCCCUAAGAGUCUACGUAGUUUAUGGACAGGCCCUCGAGAAAUUCCUUAAGAAAUCCCUGGAGGAUACCCUGGGGAAUUGCCUUGAAAAAUCCCUGGAGAAAUUCCUGGACUAAUGCUUGGAGUAAUCUCUGGAUACAUUUCUAGAUGAGUACCUGGUGGAGUUUUCAAAAGAAUUCUGGGAGCAAUCUAGUGGAGUUUGGAGUUUUUACAAGAACUCCCGAAACAAUCUCUAGAUGAAUUGCUGGAGAAAUCCUGAGAUGAGUCCAUGGAGAAACUCCCUGGAGAAAUUUCUAAAGAAAUUCUUGGAAGGAUCCCUGGGAAAAUUCUUUGAAAAAUCCCUGGAGGAAUCCCUGAAGCAAUUUCUGGAGAAACCUCAGGAGGAAUGCCUGGAAAGUUCUGGACAAAUUCCUGCAGGAAGUUCUGGAUAAAUUCCAUGCGGAAUCCCAGGAAGAAUUCCUGGAUUAAUAUGAGAAGGAUUUUUUGUGGAAAUUCCUUGGAACUAUCCCUGGAAGAAUUCUUGAAUAAAUUCCUGGAGGAAUCUCGAGAGAAGUUCUGGAAGCAGUUAAUGGAGGAAUUUCUAAAGAAAUUCCAAGAGAAAUUUCUGAAGAAACUCCAAGAGAAAUUUCUGAAGAAAAUCCAAGAGAAAUUUCUAGAGAAAUUCCUAGAGGAAUUUUUGGAGGAAUUCCAGGAGGAAUUCCUGAAGGAAUUGCGGUAGUAAUUUCUAAAGGAAUUCCUAUGGGAGUUCCUGAAUCAAUUCCUGGAGGACUUUCUGAAGGGAUUCUUGUGGUAAUACUUAAGUAACCUCUUGAGGAAGUCCUGGAGGCAUCCUUAGAGGAAUUUCUAGAGAAUUACUUGGAAGAAUUCCAGGGGGAAUUCUUGCAAAAAAAAAACUGGAGGAAUCCCUGAAACAAUUUCUGGGAGAACCUCAGGAGGAAUUCCUGGACAAAUCUCUAUAGGAAAUCUUGAGGAAAAUCCGUGGAACUAUUCAUGGAAGAUCUGCAGGAGGAAUCCCUAAAUGAAUAUCUUGAGAAUCCCUGAAUGAAUUCCUGGAAGAAUCUAUAGAGGAAUUCUGGAAGGAAUCCAUGGAGAAAUUUCUGGAGGAAAUCAAGGAGAAAUUUUUAGAGGAAUUCAGAAAGGAAUUUCUGGUGGAGUUCCAGGAGAAUUUUCUGGAGGAAUUACUGCAGGAAUCAUCGGUGGAAUUCCUGGAGGGAUCCAUGAAAUAAAUCCUGGAGGAAUGUGUAGAGGAAACCUAAGAGAUGAAAUUCCUGGAAGAAUUUUCGGAGGAAUUCAUGGAAGAAUUCCUGGAUCCAAACUUGAAUAAAUUCCUGGAGUAAUUCCUGAGGAAAUACCUGGGGUAAUACCUGGAGAAAUUCUUGGUAGAACUCUUGCAGAAGUCUCUGGAGAAAUGCCUGAAUGAAAUCUUAGAGGCAUGCCAGUAGGAAUACCUGGAAUAAUUCUUGAAAAAAAUCCGGGAGGAAUUUCCGAAGGAGUUCCUGGAGGAAUCUCAAGAUUCAUUCCUGAUGAAAUACAAAGUUCGAUUUCUGAGGGAAUUCCAGGAGGAUUUUCUGAAGAAUUCUCAGGGGAAAUACUGAAGAAACCGCUGAAAUUCCUGAGGAAAUCCUGAAAUCCUGGAUUAAUUCCUGCGGGAGUUUCUGAUGGAAUCCCCAUAAGAGUUCUUCUAGAAAUGUUUAAAAUAAUCUCGGAAUUCGUUUUUGUAAGAAUAACAGAAGAAAUUUCCGGUGAAUCCCUGGAGGAACUCUUGAAGUAAUUUCUGGAGAAACCCGAUGAGGAAUCCCGGAAUCAAGCCCCAUUAGGAACUCUUUAUGGAAUCUCAGGAGAGCUUUCUUAGCGAAUACCUGGAAUAUUUUUUGUAGGAAUAUGCCUGGACAAAAAAAAUGAAGAAAUCAAUAUCUGCAGUAAUUGUUGAAGGAAUACUAGGAUCCCUAGUGGAGCGGACCUGGUGGGAUGGUUAGAACACUUGACUAUCACGCCGAGGGAUCGAAUCCCACUCCCGACAAACUCGCAAAAUGUGAGCUCUUCCUUCGGAAGGGAAAUAAAGCGUGGGCCCCGAGAUGAACUAGCCUAGGGCUAAAAAUCUCGUUAAUACACAUAAAAACACUAGGAUCCCUAAAGGUUUUUUGUACAAAUUUUUCAAGCAAUUCUUGGAGUGUUUUUUUAAGAAUCUCUAAGUAAAAUUUUCUAAAAGAAUUUCUGGAAUACAUUCCUGCAGAAAUACUUCGAAUCAUUCCAGAUGUAAUUAUUGGAGCAAUCUCUAGUUGAAUUUUGGAAGGCAUAUAUGGAGAUAUCCCUGUAGAAAUCUCUGAAUACCUGCAGAAAUACCUUAAAGGAUCUCUGGAGAAAUUCCUGAAGGAAACUUCGAAAAAAGCACUGGAAAAAUUACUGGAGGAACCUAUAGAUAUCCCAGGAAAAUACAUGCCUAGGAAAACAGUCAUUUUGAUUAAAAUUCAUCUCAAGUCAGGCCCCCCCUGGGCCCCCUCCAGGAAAAAGUCCUAGUUACGCCAAUGGGAAUUUCAGGUGAAACCCUUAAAGAAAUUCCAGGAGGAAUCCCCGAAGGAAUUCCAGGAGUAAACCUGGAAAGAACUUCAGGAGGAAUCUCCGAAAAAGUUCUAGAAGAAGUUCCCGGAAGACUUCCAGGAUAAAUCUUCCUGGAGUUCCAGGAGGAAUUACCGGAGGAUUUCCAGGGAUGAUCUCCGAAGGAUUUCCGGGAGGAAUCCCUGAAAGAUUUUCAAAAAAAAAAAAUCCCUGAAGAAUUUUCAGGGAGAGUCCGCGAAAGAUUUCUAGUGGGAUGCUCCGUAGUUUUUCUAGGAUGAAAUCCGGAAGGAUUUCCAGGAGAAAUCCCUGAUAGAUUUCUAGAGGGAAUCUCUGUAGGAUUUCCAGGACGAAUCCUCGAAGGAUUUCCAGGAGGAUUACUUGAAGGAUUUUCAAGCAAAAUCCUGAAGAAGAAUCCCCGAAAAAAUUCCAGGAAGAAUCCCCAAAAGCUUUCCAGGGAGUUGCUCCGCAGUUUUUUCCAGAAUAAAUCCUCGAAGGAUAUCCAGGAGAAAUCCCGUAAGCAGCCGCCGAAAGAAUUCUCGGGAGAAUUCCAGACGGAAAACCUAGACGAUUCCCUGAAACAAAUCCUGGAGGAAUCCUUGAAGGAACUCCAUAAGAAAAUACUGGAGAUCUUCCUGUUUACUGUCCUAAAGAAAUUCUUGAAGAAACUCAAAGAAGAACCUUUGAGAGGACUCCUACAGGAGUUCCUGAAAAAACUUCUGGAGAAAUAUCUUAGGUAACUCCUGGAGGCAUCUACGAAUUCUCCAUUGAAUAUCUAUGAAAGUACUCCAGGAGUGAUUCUUGGAAGAAUACCUAAAAGAACUUCUAGAGGAACCCCUGCUAAACAUACUGGAGGAAUCUUGGAAAUAAUUCCUGGUCUAAUCCCUGAAUGAAGUUCUGCAGGAGUUCCUGAAGAGAUUUCUGGGAAAACGCAGACUUCUCCAGGAGAUGUCCUUGGAUCCUCCUGUAAGCCUUUCUGAAGGAACUUCUGGAGGAACCACUGAAAUAAUUCCAGGAGGAAUCCCUGAAGAAACAUCUACUUGAAUCCCUAAAACUCCUGGAGGAAUCUCUGAAGAAACUCCUGGACUGAAGGAACUUCUGCAGGGAUUCCUAAUGGAUGUUCUGGAAGUAUUUCAGAAUCUCUCUGAAAAAAAUCCCUGAAAGGACUUCUGGAGUAAUACCUGAGGGAUUCUGUUGGAAUAGCUGAGGGAAUUUCAUACGGAAUCCCUAAUAAUAAGCCGGGUAGCAUCCUGAAUCCUCCUGAAGUUUUUGGGGAUAUUCCUAACGGAACUCCUGAAGAGAUCCCUGAAGGAACUACUAUUCU